rnacentral:rRNA from 1 species
AAAUUGAAGAGUUUGAUCAUGGCUCAGAUUGAACGCUGGCGGCAGGCCUAACACAUGCAAGUCGAACGGUAGCACAGAGAGCUUGCUCUCGGGUGACGAGUGGCGGACGGGUGAGUAAUGUCUGGGAAACUGCCUGAUGGAGGGGGAUAACUACUGGAAACGGUGGCUAAUACCGCAUAACGUCGCAAGACCAAAGAGGGGGACCUUCGGGCCUCUUGCCAUCAGAUGUGCCCAGAUGGGAUUAGCUUGUUGGUGAGGUAACGGCUCACCAAGGCGACGAUCCCUAGCUGGUCUGAGAGGAUGACCAGCCACACUGGAACUGAGACACGGUCCAGACUCCUACGGGAGGCAGCAGUGGGGAAUAUUGCACAAUGGGCGCAAGCCUGAUGCAGCCAUGCCGCGUGUAUGAAGAAGGCCUUCGGGUUGUAAAGUACUUUCAGCGGGGAGGAAGGUGUUGUGGUUAAUAACCACAGCAAUUGACGUUACCCGCAGAAGAAGCACCGGCUAACUCCGUGCCAGCAGCCGCGGUAAUACGGAGGGUGCAAGCGUUAAUCGGAAUUACUGGGCGUAAAGCGCACGCAGGCGGUCUGUCAAGUCGGAUGUGAAAUCCCCGGGCUCAACCUGGGAACUGCAUUCGAAACUGGCAGGCUUGAGUCUUGUAGAGGGGGGUAGAAUUCCAGGUGUAGCGGUGAAAUGCGUAGAGAUCUGGAGGAAUACCGGUGGCGAAGGCGGCCCCCUGGACAAAGACUGACGCUCAGGUGCGAAAGCGUGGGGAGCAAACAGGAUUAGAUACCCUGGUAGUCCACGCCGUAAACGAUGUCUACUUGGAGGUUGUGCCCUUGAGGCGUGGCUUCCGGAGCUAACGCGUUAAGUAGACCGCCUGGGGAGUACGGCCGCAAGGUUAAAACUCAAAUGAAUUGACGGGGGCCCGCACAAGCGGUGGAGCAUGUGGUUUAAUUCGAUGCAACGCGAAGAACCUUACCUGGUCUUGACAUCCACAGAAGAAUCCAGAGAUGGAUUUGUGCCUUCGGGAACUGUGAGACAGGUGCUGCAUGGCUGUCGUCAGCUCGUGUUGUGAAAUGUUGGGUUAAGUCCCGCAACGAGCGCAACCCUUAUCCUUUGUUGCCAGCGGUCCGGCCGGGAACUCAAAGGAGACUGCCAGUGAUAAACUGGAGGAAGGUGGGGAUGACGUCAAGUCAUCAUGGCCCUUACGACCAGGGCUACACACGUGCUACAAUGGCGCAUACAAAGAGAAGCGACCUCGCGAGAGCAAGCGGACCUCAUAAAGUGCGUCGUAGUCCGGAUUGGAGUCUGCAACUCGACUCCAUGAAGUCGGAAUCGCUAGUAAUCGUGGAUCAGAAUGCCACGGUGAAUACGUUCCCGGGCCUUGUACACACCGCCCGUCACACCAUGGGAGUGGGUUGCAAAAGAAGUAGGUAGCUUAACCUUCGGGAGGGCGCUUACUACUUUGUGAUUCAUGACUGGGGUGAAGUCGUAACAAGGUAACCGUAGGGGAACCUGCGGUUGGAUCACCUCCUUACCUUAAAGAA